rnacentral:rRNA from 1 species
GAAACCGGAGCUAAUACCGGAUAAUAUUUUGAACCGCAUGGUUCAAAAGUGAAAGACGGUCUUGCUGUCACUUAUAGAUGGAUCCGCGCUGCAUUAGCUAGUUGGUAAGGUAACGGCUUACCAAGGCAACGAUGCAUAGCCGACCUGAGAGGGUGAUCGGCCACACUGGAACUGAGACACGGUCCAG